UACGUAGGGUGCGAGCGUUGCCCGGAUUUAUUGGGCGUAAAGGGCGCGUAGGCGGCCACGCACGUCCGUUGUGAAAUCGCCCGGCUCAACUGGGCGGGGUCAGCGGAUACGGUGUGGCUCGAGCAAGCUAGGGGGCAAUGGAAUUCCCGGUGUAGUGGUGGAAUGCGUAGAUAUCGGGAGGAAUACCAGUGGCGCAAGCGGCGCCCUGGCCGUGACCUGACACUGAGCCACGACGGCGUGGGGAGCAAACGGG
rnacentral:rRNA from 1 species